rnacentral:precursor_RNA from 10 species
UGUUGUUAGUAGUCGCUGACGCCCUGGUGUAUCUUGGUCAUAUAGUGUUGUAGAUUCAUGAUCUAACACUGUCUGGUAAAGAUGCAUUCGACGUGUCUCUUUCAACUUGAUUGUG